GACGAACGCUGGCGGCGUGCUUAACACAUGCAAGUCGAACGGUAAGGCUCCAGCUUGCUGGGGUACACGAGUGGCGAACGGGUGAGUAACACGUGGGUGACCUGCCCUGCACUUCGGGAUAAGCCUGGGAAACUGGGUCUAAUACCGGAUAGGACCGCACCGUGAGGGUGUGGUGGAAAGUUUUUUCGGUGUGGGAUGGGCCCGCGGCCUAUCAGCUUGUUGGUGGGGUAAUGGCCUACCAAGGCGACGACGGGUAGCCGGCCUGAGAGGGUGGACGGCCACAUUGGGACUGAGACACGGCCCAGACUCCUACGGGAGGCAGCAGUGGGGAAUAUUGCACAAUGGGCGGAAGCCUGAUGCAGCGACGCCGCGUGGGGGAUGACGGCCUUCGGGUUGUAAACUCCUUUCACCAUCGACGAAGGGUUUCUGACGGUAGAUGGAGAAGAAGCACCGGCUAACUACGUGCCAGCAGCCGCGGUAAUACGUAGGGUGCGAGCGUUGUCCGGAAUUACUGGGCGUAAAGAGCUCGUAGGUGGUUUGUCGCGUCGUCUGUGAAAUUCCGGGGCUUAACUCCGGGCGUGCAGGCGAUACGGGCAUAACUUGAGUACUGUAGGGGAGACUGGAAUUCCUGGUGUAGCGGUGAAAUGCGCAGAUAUCAGGAGGAACACCGGUGGCGAAGGCGGAUCUCUGGGCAGUAACUGACGCUGAGGAGCGAAAGCAUGGGGAGCGAACAGGAUUAGAUACCCUGGUAGUCCAUGCCGUAAACGGUGGGCGCUAGGUGUGGGUUUCCUUCCACGGGAUCCGUGCCGUAGCUAACGCAUUAAGCGCCCCGCCUGGGGAGUACGGCCGCAAGGCUAAAACUCAAAGGAAUUGACGGGGGCCCGCACAAGCGGCGGAGCAUGUGGAUUAAUUCGAUGCAACGCGAAGAACCUUACCUGGGCUUGACAUAUACAGGAUCGCGCCAGAGAUGGUGUUUCCCUUGUGGCUUGUAUACAGGUGGUGCAUGGUUGUCGUCAGCUCGUGUCGUGAGAUGUUGGGUUAAGUCCCGCAACGAGCGCAACCCUUGUCUUAUGUUGCCAGCACGUUGUGGUGGGGACUCGUAAGAAACUGCCGGGGUUAACUCGGAGGAAGGUGGGGAUGACGUCAAAUCAUCAUGCCCCUUAUGUCCAGGGCUUCACACAUGCUACAAUGGUCGGUACAGUGGGUUGCCAGUCCGUGAGGGCGAGCUAAUCCCGCAAAGCCGGUCUCAGUUCGGAUCGGGGUCUGCAACUCGACCCCGUGAAGUCGGAGUCGCUAGUAAUCGCAGAUCAGCAACGCUGCGGUGAAUACGUUCCCGGGCCU
rnacentral:rRNA from 1 species